UGCUUAGUUGAUAAACAAAAUGUUUCAGACGAUAAAUUUGUCAACAAUCACAUUUAGUUCAUGUUCUUGUACAAUACAAUUUCUAGAACCUUUGGCAGUAUUUAGUCCUAGUUUUUAGAAUGACAUGUUUAUUUUUGCGCUCGAAAUCUGGCUGUAAAGACGCACAAUGAAGUCACUCCUUUUUACCGCCAUUUUGAGCCUUCGGAAACGUUCGGAACAGCUUCUCAUCAAGUUCGCAAUACUAUUACAGGUAAGGUUGACGCAUGCGCAGACGUUUUUCCGCGGUGUUGAUUCGCACCAG